rnacentral:rRNA from 1 species
UACCAAGGCAACGGAUGCAUAGCCGACCUGAGAGGGUGAUUGGCCACACUGGAACUGAGACACGGUCCAGAUUCCUACGGGAGGCAACCAGUAGGGAAUCUUCCGCAAUGGGCGAAAGCCUGACGGAGCAACGCCGCGUGAGUGAUGAAGGUCUUCGGAUCGUAAAACUCUGUUAUUAGGGAAGAACAUAUGUGUAAGUAACUGUGCACAUCUUGACGGUACCUAAUCAGAAAGCCACGGCUAACUACGUGCCAGCAGCCGCGGUAAUACGUAGGUGGCAAGCGUUAUCCGGAAUUAUUGGGCGUAAAGCGCGCGUAGGCGGUUUUUUAAGUCUGGAUGUGAAAGCCCACGGCUCAACCGUGGAGGGUCAUUGGAAACUGGAAAACUUGAGUGCAGAAGAGGAAAGUGGAAUUCCAUGUGUAGCGGUGAAAUGCGCAGAGAUAUGGAGGAACACCAGUGGCGAAGGCGACUUUCUGGUCUGUAACUGACGCUGAUGUGCGAAAGCGUGGGGAUCAAACAGGAUUAGAUACCCUGGUAGUCCACGCCGUAAACGAUGAGUGCUAAGUGUUAGGGGGUUUCCGCCCCUUAGUGCUGCAGCUAACGCAUUAAGCACUCCGCCUGGGGAGUACGACCGCAAGGUUGAAACUCAAAGGAAUUGACGGGGACCCGCACAAGCGGUGGAGCAUGUGGUUUAAUUCGAAGCAACGCGAAGAACCUUACCAAAUCUUGACAUCCUUUGACAACUCUAGAGAUAGAGCCUUCCCCUUCGGGGGACAAAGUGACAGGUGGUGCAUGGUUGUCGUCAGCUCGUGUCGUGAGAUGUUGGGUUAAGUCCCGCAACGAGCGCAACCCUUAAGCUUAGUUGCCAUCAUUAAGUUGGGCACUCUAAGUUGACUGCCGGUGACAAACCGGAGGAAGGUGGGGAUGACGUCAAAUCAUCAUGCCCCUUAUGAUUUGGGCUACACACGUGCUACAAUGGACAAUACAAAGGGCAGCGAAACCGCGAGGUCAAGCAAAUCCCAUAAAGUUGUUCUCAGUUCGGAUUGUAGUCUGCAACUCGACUACAUGAAGCUGGAAUCGCUAGUAAUCGUAGAUCAGCAUGCUACGGUGAAUACGUUCCCGGGUCUUGUACACACCGCCCGUCACACCACGAGAGUUUGUAACACCCGAAGCCGGUGGAGUAACCUUUUAGGAGCUAGCCGUCGAAGGUGGACAAAUGAUGGGGGAAGUCGAAACAAGUAGCCAUAGGG